rnacentral:lncRNA from 1 species
AGGGACAACUGGUAACAAAUGGUUUGCAGCAGGGAAGAAGUGUGGUGACCUGACUAGAUUGGGUUUUGAGAAGGCCACUUUGGCAGCAGUGUGGGAAAAGGCUGACUGGGUAAGAGUGGAGCCUAGGCUAGGAGGAGCUGACCUGCUUGUUGGGCUAUCAGUACCAACCAUGUGUUCCCAUUGCACAGAUGGGGCAGCUGAGGCCUGAGAAAUGACACGACCAAGUUCAGAGCUCAUGUCUCUUGAUUUCUAGGACAGAUACUGCUGGUACCUUUAUCCUGAUAAAACCUGGGUUUUAGCUGAGCCUUGUGCACCGCAUGUGGAGAGCUCUGAGGCAUCUGUGUGGAAUGCUGUCCACAGGGAAGAAGAGGCCUGGGGAGAACAAGGCUGGUUCUAACCCUCUGAAGAAAGUCCCCAGCUCCGAUUAGCCCCAGAAAGUCCAUCAAAAUUCUUACCAGAGUCCUAAAAAGAAGGUAAUGUAAUAAACUUGAGUUUUCUCUCUGUGUAUUUUCUCA